CGAACGCUGGCGGCGUGCUUAACACAUGCAAGUCGAACGCUGAAGCUCAGCUUGCUGGGUGGAUGAGUGGCGAACGGGUGAGUAACACGUGAGUAACCUGCCCUCUUCUUUGGGAUAACGCCCGGAAACGGGUGCUAAUACUGGAUAUUCACUGAUUCUCGCAUGGGGGUUGGUGGAAAGGUUUUUUCUGGUGGGGGAUGGGCUCGCGGCCUAUCAGCUUGUUGGUGGGGUGAUGGCCUACCAAGGCUUUGACGGGUAGCCGGCCUGAGAGGGUGACCGGUCACAUUGGGACUGAGAUACGGCCCAGACUCCUACGGGAGGCAGCAGUGGGGAAUAUUGCACAAUGGGCGAAAGCCUGAUGCAGCGACGCCGCGUGAGGGAUGGAGGCCUUCGGGUUGUAAACCUCUUUCGCUCAUGGUCAAGCCGCAGCUUUGGGUUGUGGUGAGGGUAGUGGGUAAAGAAGCGCCGGCUAACUACGUG
rnacentral:rRNA from 1 species